UUUAUUAUUGCUCUUGUAUUGUUGUUAUCCUCUAGUAUAUUUACUGUUCCUUGUGAUCAAGGAACCCUUUCCUGUAGCACUUCUAUUUCCUUGACCUCAUUCUCUUUCCCGCAGAAUCUAUUUCUGUAAUUAAAUAUCUCAUGAGCCAUCCUCAUCUGAUGUCUAAGUCUGGUGCCUCUGAAUAUUUUCUAGACUGGAGCAAAUUAUUGUAUAAGAAUUCCUGAAGAAAUUUGAAAUACGCUCAGCAUUAGACCAUCGUAUUUGUGGAUAGUUUCCUAUCAAGUCGAGGUCUCACAAAUGUUAUCCGGGGACCAGCAUACCUAAUUUCACUAGGAGAAGGCUUUCUGUGAUGACCUGUGUCAUAAAGAUUGUCACAUCCUCACUGAAGACUGGGAAAGGAGACCUGGCAAAUC
rnacentral:lncRNA from 1 species